rnacentral:lncRNA from 1 species
GCAAAGCAAGGAUGGAAGCUAAUCACCAAUCCUACAAGCUUCCUUGUACAAGUAAUGAAAUCUAAAUACUACCCAUGAAGUGACUUUUUGAAUGCCGAACUAGGGGCUUACCCUUCGUUUACCUGGAGAAACAUAUGGAACGCUCGGAGUAUUUUGGAAUCAAGACUGGGUUGAAGAAUCAGAGAGAGUAGAUCAGUUAACAUAUGAAACAAUCCAUGGUUUCCUGAGGAAGGAAAAUUAAAAUUUCAGAAUAUUGAUUAUAGGUACACUUUAGUUGCAGACCUUAUAAAUCAUGAAUAUGUCACCUGAAAGGAGGAAACCUUGAGAGGGUUUUUCCCAGAAGAACAAGCUAGUGAGAUUGGAUCCAUUCCUUUGGGGAACGCUCUGCAACUAGAUAUAAGGUUUUGGUAAGGUGACAGGUUGAGAGAAUACACGGUAAAAAACGGUUACAAAAGGUGUGUCUUAGAAGAUUUAAAUAUGAUGGGAAAUGAAAUUUCAACAGACCAGGAUCUAACUAGAAGUUAUUUUACAAAAAUUUGGAGUCUAAAAAUUCUCAGCAAUGUUCGAAUUAAUCUAUGGGAAAAUGAGUUUGUAAGCUACAUCUUCCGAGACUACAUCCUCGCAAAACAAGUCCUCCAGCAAAUGACACUGACAUUGGUCCCCCGUUCAUGAAAAUCAAGAAUGGAAACAAUGGUUAGCGGAGGCCUUCAAUCUCAAUAAUGCAUAUAAAUGUUCAUGCUUAGCAGUGUCAUUAUAGGCAAUAUGGCAUAACAAGAAUAUAUAUUUCCAUGAAGGCAUCCGACAAAGAACAUGCGAGAUUGUGGCUUAUAUUAAAGCAUACUUAGCGGAUCUUGAUAAGCUAAAGGAAGCACUAAAAUGUCAACAUAACACAGUGAUUACCCAUUGGGAGCCCCCAUCAAAAAGUCAAGUUAAAGUUAAUUUUGAUUCUGCAUUUCUUCAAUAAAGCAACAAAGCAGUAUCGGGAAUUAUCAUCAGAAACUAUACAGGACUUGUAAUAGGUUUGUGUUCUUACCUGAUCCACAACGUUAGAUAUCUAACAAUUUGUUAGAAUUGUGUGACCCAAAUUCUAAGAGAUUGCUUGCAAGUCAAGUUAAACAAAAAUAUAUUUUCUUUCUAGAAGAUUUAGUAUUUAUUAGUAUAAUAUAUUUAGCAUUUAUUAGUAUAGUUUAUUUGACUUACUAAUUUAGCCUAUAAAUAGGCUCCUUUACAAUCUUAGAAUAAAAGAGACACCCAUUAGAUUAGAACUCAUAACACAUUCAGAGAAUUUUGUGUUUACGUUUGAGGGUUCUUUGUUUUUCGAGUUUUCGGGGUUUAGUUUUUAUCUCCAUCUUUUGUACUCUUCAUUCUUUUGCCAUUAUAGUAAAAUUAUCUUUGCCCGUGGUUUUUUAUCCUCUUUUGAGGGGUUUUUCCACGUUAAAUUUGUGUGUUCAUCUUCUCAAUUUCUUCUACUAUUUUUACUUGUUCGUUGCUUAUUCGGGACGAUCCUAACAAGUGGUAUCAGAGCUAGUUUAACUUUCAUAGAUCAGCCCGGUCAGAGAUGGCAGCAACAAGGUUUGAAAUUGAGAAGUUCGAUGGUGAGACAAAUUUCAAUCUGUGGCAAGUUCGGAUGAUGGCAAUUCUAGUUCAAAAUGGCUUGAAAAAGGUUGUUACAGGGAAAAAGCCUGAGAAUCUAAAUCAAACAGAAUGGGAAGAGCUUGAUGAAAACGCCUUGUCUGCAAUCCAGUUGUGCCUCGCGAAUACAGUAUUGCAGGAGGUAUUGAUGGAGAAGACCUCAUUCGCCUUGUGGAAAAGGUUAGAAACUCUUUAUGCGACUAAGUCUCUGGCUAACCGUUUAGUGUUGAAACAACGUCUAUUUACGUUUCGCAUGAACGAAUGUGAGCUUCUUAAAGAUCACAUCAGUCAAUUCAUUACUCUUUUAAAUGAUUUAAAGAACGUUGAGGUUCAUAUUGACGAUGAAGAUCAAGCUAUGCUAUUAUUGUGCUCUUUACCCUCUUCAUACAAGUCUUUCAGGGAGACCCUGAUUUAUGGCAGAGACAAACUCUCGUUCGAAGAUGUGAAGGGUCAUUUGUUGAGUAGAGACAAACUCGACAAUGAGUUUGAUUUGAAUAGCAAAGCAGAUAGACAAGCUUCCGUUUUGGUAGCAUCAAAGAAACGAGACAAAAGGUGUCGCUAUUGCAAAAAGUUAGGUCACGUCAAAGUAGAUUGUUAUAAACUGCGAAAUAAAAGAGCUGCUGAGAGUAACGAGGAAGAUGUAGCUGGUGCUAAUUUGGUCGAUGAAGGCAGUGAUGAUUUCUUGUUAGUGUCAAUGAGCGAUAACUCCAAGCUUACGUCUGAGUGGAUCCUAGAUUCAGGAUGUUCUUUCCACAUGUGUCCCAAUAGAGAAUGGUUCUCCACAUACAGUUCAGUUGAAGGUGGAGUUGUGCACAUGGGAAACGAUUCAUCUAGUAAAAUAAUCGGUAUUGGUACUGUUAAAAUUAGGAUACACAAUGGGACGAUUAGGACACUCUCAGAUGUCAAGUAUGUACCUGAUUUACGAAAGAAUCUCAUCUCCUUGAGUAUUUUAGACUUGAAAGGAUGCAGAAUCAACAUCGAGUCGAGCGACAUUAAAGUAUCUCGUGGAGCUCUCGUUUUGUUAAAAGGUAAAAGAACCGGCAGUCUUUAUAUUCUGGAAGGUUCUACAGUGACCGGUGAAAUCGGACGUCCCUCGUCCGUUACGGAGUCAAAGUCAACUCAUUUGAAGCGGAGGUAACUUGGUCAUAGGAGGGAAAAAGGUAUGACCGUUUCGUUGAAGAGAGGUUCUCUUUUGGAUGCAGGUUUUGAAAAGUUAGGGCACUGUAUUCGUGAAAAUCAGACCCGGGUUAGUUUUGAUAUGGCAGUGCACAAGUCGAAGGCUAGAAGUCUUCCAGCUUCUAAGCAUAGAUUCGACUCAGUUAAUUCCCUGCAUAGUUCAAGAUAGGCCCGUGGCGGGUUUUGGCAAAGAUGGCAUUGAAAGAAUUCGUGUCAAGGUGGAGAUUGUUAGAAUUGUGUGACCCAAAUUCUAAGAGAUUGCUUGCAAGUCAAGUUAAACAAAAAUAUAUUUUCUUUCUAGAAGAUUUAGUAUUUAUUAGUAUAAUAUAUUUAGCAUUUAUUAGUAUAGUUUAUUUGACUUACUAAUUUAGCCUAUAAAUAGGCUCCUUUACAAUCUUAGAAUAAAAGAGACACCCAUUAGAUUAGAACUCAUAACACAUUCAGAGAAUUUUGUGUUUACGUUUGAGGGUUCUUUGUUUUUUGGGUUUUCGGGGUUUAGUUUUUAUCUCCAUCUUUUGUACUCUUCAUUCUUUUGCCAUUAUAGUAAAAUUAUCUUUGCCCGUGGUUUUUUAUCCUCUUUUGAGGGGUUUUUCCACGUUAAAUUUGUGUGUUCAUCUUCUCAAUUUCUUCUACUAUUUUUACUUGUUCGUUGCUUAUUCGGGACGAUCCUAACACAAUUGCUGAAGCGUAUACAUGCCUUAAAGGAGUCGUUUUUGCUGAAGAAAUAGGAUUUAGCGAUGUUAUCAUGGAAGAGGACUCAAGGAUUGUCAUUAAAAAACUGCAAAACCAUGGAAAUGAUAGAUCAACCAUCAGGGGAGUUAUAAACAAAAUAAUAGCAAUGUCAAGAAUUUUCUGGAAUAUUGAGUUCCGGUUCAUACCACGAGAAGCCAACGGAACGGCGUAUGCGAUGGCUGCAAGGGGCAGAGGAAGUAAUUUUUUGACUUUCUAGGUAGAAGAAACUCCAUUAGAGGUUGAACCUAUCAUAGCUAGAUACCAAAGAAGAACUGACUAAUAAAAAAAUAUAUGGAUGUUUGAUGGGCUAACUUCGAAAAAGGAAAAGGGUUAACAAAGCUCAGAGGAACUCAGAAGAUGAUGGACCGGGGGAAUGAAGUCAAGACGAGAACAAAGGAUUUGCUUUAACAGGUCUACCGUUGAAAUGAAUUUUGGCGACGCGACAAAAGGAGAGAAGAACGAGGGAAGGUUAAGUCUUUAGGGCUUUCUUGUUGUGUGUUUUUUUUUAGAAAGUUUGCGUUUUCUUCACCCACAAAAGAGCAAGGGACUGGUUUUAUCUUAGGAAAUGAAAAAUCGAGGCUUCGCCCACACUUUC